CCUAAAUACAGUGUCUUCAGAAGGUAUUCAACCCCUUUGUUAUGGCCAGCCUAAAUACAGUGUCUUCAGAAGGUAUUCAACCCCUUUGUUAUGGCCAGCCUAAAUACAGUGUCUUCAGAAGGUAUUCAACCCCUUUGUUAUGGCCAGCCUAAAUACAGUGUCUUCAGAAGGUAUUCAACCCCUUUGUUAUGGCCAGCCUAAAUACAGUGUCUUCAGAAGGUAUUCAACCCCUUUGUUAUGGCCAGCCUAAAUACAGUGUCUUCAGAAGGUAUUCAACCCCUUUGUUAUGGCCAGCCUAAAUACAGUGUCUUCAGAAGGUAUUCAACCCCUUUGUUAUGGCCAGCCUAAAUACAGUGUCUUCAGAAGGUAUUCAACCCCUUUGUUAUGGCCAGCCUAAAUACAGUGUCUUCAGAAGGUAUUCAACCCCUUUGUUAUGGCCAGCCUAAAUACAGUGUCUUCAGAAGGUAUUCAACCCCUUUGUUAUGGCCAGCCUAAAUACAGUGUCUUCAGAAGGUAUUCAACCCCUUUGUUAUGGCCAGCCUAAAUACAGUGUCUUCAGAAGGUAUUCAACCCCUUUGUUAUGGCCAGCCUAAAUACAGUGUCUUCAGAAGGUAUUCAACCCCUUUGUUAUGGCCAGCCUAAAUACAGUGUCUUCAGAAGGUAUUCAACCCCUUUGUUAUGGCCAGCCUAAAUACAGUGUCUUCAGAAGGUAUUCAACCCCUUUGUUAUGGCCAGCCUAAAUACAGUGUCUUCAGAAGGUAUUCAACCCCUUUGUUAUGGCCAGCCUAAAUACAGUGUCUUCAGAAGGUAUUCAACCCCUUUGUUAUGGCCAGCCUAAAUACAGUGUCUUCAGAAGGUAUUCAACCCCUUUGUUAUGGCCAGCCUAAAUACAGUGUCUUCAGAAGGUAUUCAACCCCUUUG